GCUUCUGAACUUAAUCAUAUCACUAAGGGGAGGAAAAGAAACUAACAAGGAUUUCCUCGGUAACAGUGAGUGAAAAGCGA
rnacentral:ncRNA from 1 species